CCUACGGGAGGCAGCAGUGAGGAAUAUUGGUCAAUGGACGAGAGUCUGAACCAGCCAAGUAGCGUGAAGGAUGACUGCCCUAUGGGUUGUAAACUUCUUUUAUAUGGGAAUAAAAUGUUCCACGUGUGGGAUUUUGUAUGUACCAUAUGAAUAAGGAUCGGCUAACUCCGUGCCAGCAGCCGCGGUAAUACGGAGGAUCCGAGCGUUAUCCGGAUUUAUUGGGUUUAAAGGGAGCGUAGGUGGAUUGUUAAGUCAGUUGUGAAAGUUUGCGGCUCAACCGUAAAAUUGCAGUUGAAACUGGCAGUCUUGAGUACAGUAGAGGUGGGCGGAAUUCGUGGUGUAGCGGUGAAAUUCUUAGAUAUCACGAAGAACUCCGAUGGCGAAGGCAGUUCACUGGACUGCAACUGACACUGAGGCUCGAAAGUGUGGGUAUCAAACAGGAUUAGAUACCCGGGUAGUC
rnacentral:rRNA from 1 species